AAGCUACAGGCUGGGUUCAAAUUUAGAUCCUCCUGCCCAGCCUCCCAAGAGCUGGCAUCACAGGAGUGCACCACUGAGCCUGCCUUCAGCCUUUGAUGACUUGGUGAUGGCCUUUGGAGAAUCAGUUGUGGUUAACUGGUGGUCAAUUGGGGGGCGGGAGGCUCUGCACGUGAAACUCCUGUGGCUUAAUGGCCGGCAUUAUUUGUACCCCUGUGGCGAGUGGGGGAGACUUUCUAUCUUUGCAGAACCGAAGAGGAUGGACGGACAGACGGACGCUGUGUGUUUUCACUUCAUUCUGUAGAAGGUGGGUGAUUCUUGGAGCUCUGCCCUUUUCUCUAGGACCGUCAUGGGUAACGGCCAUGGGACCUGGUGGGUGAAGAACUCCUGGUGACAUGCACAGAGGGGUAAGGGCCGUGUCCUCUUAUAUCUGGCUUCUUCCACAAACUGCUUCUGAUACACAAUUUUUUCUGGUACUGAGGAUUGAACCAGGAGCCUGAGCUACAUCCCCAGCCCUACUGUUUUUUUUUUUUUUCCGGUACCAGGGAUCAAACUUGGGACCUUGCACUUGCGAGGCAGGUGCCAGAACCACUGAGCUAAAUCCCCGGCCCUAGCCCUACUGUAUUUUAAGGCAGGGGUCACUAAGUCACUAAGCCCCCUAGCUUGUACUCCACCUUGUCAUCCUCCUGCCUCAGCCUCCCAGAGUGCUGGGAUUACAGGUGUGAGCCACUGCACCUGGUGAUUUUUCCCAUUUUAACAAGUUGGGGGAAAAAAAUCAAAAGAGGUACAAUCUUCUGCAACACAUGCGAAUGUAAGGAAUUUGAUUUUUCAGUGUUUUUAAAUCAAGUUUUAUUGGUACACGGUAAUGUACACUCAUUUCUGUGGCUGCUUCCUGGCUGCUAAGGCAGAGUUGGUAAUUGUCAUGUAGGGCUCACAAAUCCUAAAAUGUUUGCUAUCUAAGCUGGGUGUGGUGGUGCACCCUGUAAUUCCAGCACUCUGGGAGGCUGAGGCAGGAGAAUUACAAGUUCAAGCCCAGCCUGGGCAACUUAAUGAUUUAGCAAGACCCUGUCUCAAAAUUAAAAGAUAAGAAAAGGCUGAUACUGUAGUUCAAGGCGAAGGCUCUGGGUUCAACCUGCAGUAGCACAAAAAACAAAAAGCAAAGAAGUGCCUAUAAUGCUUUGACCUGCCCCACUUCCCAGGAAGAUCAACUAAGCUAUAUCUCAGCCCUUUUACUUUUUGUAUUUUGGGAGACAGGGUCUCACCAAGUUGCUACAUUGCCCAGGUAAGACUCGAACCUGCCAUCUUCCUGCCUCAGCCUCCCAAAGUGCUGGGAAAGAGUCCUGGUGUUGCAAAACACUUACAUUUUUCUUUUUGCAUUUGAGUCAUCUGGGUGUGUGUGUGUGUGUGUGUGUGUGAGUGUGUGUGUGUACACGUUAUGUUAUAUUGAGGUUUUACUUUGCAUUUCCCUGGUGAACAAUGAACUCGACCAGCUUCCAGACGAGUCCUGUCCUGGUGGAUAGCCCCUUUUGUGAAGAGUCUGUUCAAAGCUUCUGUGCACCUCAUUGAAAAGGCAUGGUGUGUCUCCUAUUAAUUGGAGGCAUUCCCUGUGUGUUAUAGACAGAGGCCCAGCCCUGGGGCUGCUGUGGGCUGGGGUUUGUCCUGAGAGCCCUGAGAAGCCACCUGGGGGCGGCCUCUGAGCUGGGGUGGUGGUGAGGUCAGGUUUGGGCUCUGAUGGGGAGUGGGGAGGGGUGUCCAGGGGAAGGUGGGGGAGGUGUGACCCGGGGUGGGGGUGGCCCGGGAGGGCCACUGGCUGGUCAUGGGCUGCUGAAGGACAUUGGGCAGGGAUGGGCACCCUGCACUCUCCAGAGGGCUUGAGUUCCCUGGAUUCCACUGCCUGCCUGGGCCAGUCCUGGAGCUGCAUGGAGUUUCCUGGAUCAGAGUGAUAAAGUGUCCCUGUUGAUUCUUUGAGUGCUGUGGUGUUGGGGACAGAAAGCCUGGGGCCUCUGUGGGGCUAUGACAAUUCCUGGGACAUCUAGGAUGACUCAGCUUUUGCCUUUCUUUUUUUUUUUUUCAGUUCUGGGAAUUGAACUCAGGGCCUUUGAACAAAGCUACAUCCCCAGCCCUUUUUAAAUUUUUUAUUUUGAGACAGGAUCUUGCUAAGGCACUAAGUUUGUUUGUUUGUUUUGGUACCGGGGAUCGAACUCAGGUCCUUGCGCUUGCUAAGACACUAAGUUAGCCCAGCUGGGCUUGAUCCCUCCUGCCUCAGCCUUCCUAGUGUUAUAGACCUUCUGACUGAUCAGGACUCAGGACACAUGCCCACUCCCCUACUAGACCUCAUGCUGAGUUAGGGCUGCGUGGACCUUCGUCUGGUUGACAUCUGGUGUCUGGGGUGUGACCGUCCUUGGUGAGAGGCUGUAAUGUGUCCGGGAAGCAGGGGGUUCAGGCCUGGUAAGUCUCUUUUCAGAAAGUUUUGUGAACAGGAUUUCAACUUCAAGAGGUGGGGGCAGAAUGAAGACUAAAAUAGUUCCUCAUACUUUGUUUCGUUUUGGGGGACAGGGUCUCCUUAUGUAGUUCAGGUUGGCCUUGAACUCAGUAUGUCACCCAUGCUGGCCUCGAACUGACAGAGAUUCUCCUGCCUCAGUCUCCCAAGGGCUGGGAGUAUAGACCUAUAUCCCACAUGCCCCCCACACAGCCAACACUUCCCCUGUGUGAAAUGGUAAUUAUGCUCUGUGAGGGUAGAAAACCAGUGUCAUGUCUUAGGUUUCUGUCAGGCGCUUCCCACCCCCUGCUUAGUACUUCAGCUGAUAACUGUGUGUCUUUAGAGGUUGUGGUCUGUGUAGACUCAGCCUAUAAGGCCCAGGGGGCUAAAUGUAGCUGGACUUCUGAUUUGUGUUAAUAAAGUUUUUGUUUUUGUUUUGUGGUGGGGGGUCUAUAUUUAGAGCUUUUAUUUUUAUUCCCAAAAUGCAUGUAAAUGAAAACCUGCUCUUCAAAUGCAUAAAACUUUGCCUAUCAUGUGGUACUUCAUUUUUAUCACAAAACAUUUUAUGAGAGCUGAGCGGGGUGAGUCCAGCCUGUCAUCCCAGCACUUAGGAGGGUGAGGCAGGAGGAUUGCCUGGAGUUUGAGUCCAGCCAGGGAUACACAGUGAGUUCAAAUCUAGCCAGCACUAUAUAAAAGACCCCAUCUCAAGAAAACAAAACAAAAAAAUUCAAAACCUAAGUCCGUGUUCUUCAACAGUAACAAAAGCUAUUUGGCAACAGAAGAAAGACUUGAGGCAAUAAGAGGUAUUACACAGAGCAACACACUGCUCUUUGAAUGAAUCCCGGAGUAUCCCAGAAGCCAAAGGUGCCUCAGUAGGUGGGGUCCUGAGUUUGGUGGCCUCGGAAACCACUUCCUCCCCCCGUCAUCCUCAUCUCUCCUCCUGUCUAGUUCAGAGGUAUCCAGCGAGUCGUGCAGUAGGACAUACUCCGUACUGUUGAACCCGAAUUGAAGUACAUCCUUUUCUUUGAGUUCAUUGUAGCUGCAUGGCUCUUGUUCAAGAAAGUUUCGUUGCCUGAGUCCAAGUCAAUGCUGCGGGCCUUCACCGUGGGGCCAACAGUACCACUGGCUUACAUAAGCUGAUACUGAAAGACUGCAUGCUGGAGAAUGUCUGCGAUGUGUGGUGGCGAUCCAAAAGGUAACCCUUUGGUGACAGAUGUUCAUGACAGAGAGUGCCUCGUCAGAGGGGUAGAGACGAGGGACGUGGGGCAUGCGUGCUUCUGGGGGCUCGCUGUAUCGAAUGGCUGCACUUGGAAGGGGUUCAUGUCUGAUUUUUCCUGGACAGACACCUCUCUGUGUUUCUUGUCUCCACCGGGUCCAGGUCAAGGCAGCAACUGCUGAGUGGCACUACAGUUUCCACUGACUCCACUCUCCCGGGCCUGCUCCCGGCGCCUGGUUACACAACUCUCGCUCUUUCUCCUGAGCCUCCAGGUUCUGGCCCUGCUUCCCGUCCUCAAGGCGCCCCAUGCCCCGGGCCUAUCACCAGAGCUUGUCCUUUGUCAGGAACAGCCCAGUAUCAGUCUCCUGUCUUGGUCACCGUGCCCGGGCCUCCGGGGUUCCUGAUCAGAAGGUUGACAGUGUCGCCCAUUCUCAGGUCCUCUCCGGGAUGAUCCUCUUGUUCCUCUUUCACUCUGGCUGUCCAGUGGGGAGGACUUCAGCUUCUAUCACUCCAGGGAGAUCUGCUUCUUUUCCCUGAGGACUUGCUCUUCAUUGUGGUUCGAACUAGACACCUCCCAGGGCUUGGCUCCUGUGGUGGCCCAGGGAGGGCUCCCCCGCCCCGCCCCGGUGCGCAGGCUUGCAGGGACCGGCCGCUGCCACCCAAGGCCAGUCGACCAGGGCAGGGGAUGGGGGCUGCUUCUGGGCUGAGCUGUUCCUGCUGCAGUGGUGCUCGUUGCUACAUCCCAGUAACAGUGCCUUCACUGGCUCGUUCACUGUCCACCUCCUUCAUUCUGGCAAUUCUGGAACAGCGAGGAGGAACCACAGGGAGCAGUGCAUUUCUCAGCCUCGAUCUGGCUGCCAGUAGCAACUUUUUGACCACUUGGAAAUCUCCUGAGAACUGGGAGGCGGUCUGCCUGACAGCCGGAGAUGUUUACAGACCUUGGCAAUGCUAGAGACACAAAUUCCUCUCCCCGACCUUGAAUCAGCGGGGAGGAUGGCUUGAUUGUUUAUUAGUCUUUUCCAUCAUAUGAGACAGGAGGCAGAAGACCUUAUCCAGCAGGUGAACCAAUUGCAGCGAACCAAAGAGAGCUUAGAGCAAUGCGUGGCAGCUGGGGAAGCCAUGUUGAAAGAAGUAGGGAGCGCUACCUCCUCUCUGAGCAUAGGUUCUACAUACCUGGAGAGCACCCUGGCGUUCUAGGCAUGAACUGCUGUCUCAGAAAGUGGAAGUAGAAGAGCUCUUGACCCAAGAGGGGGAGUCAGGGGGUCCACCUAGGUUUACCUGCCACACAAUGUAUAUGACCUACACAGCUAUGGAGCUUCAGGAACUGGCAAAACAUCAUGCUGCUUGCAUUGCUUCACCAGACCUAAGGCCUGGUGAUCUCCACAAGUCUGAGGACCAUUGCAGACGAGGGGAGUCACUCAGACGAAGUAAAGGGUGUAUGAGACAGUGCCUACAUGGCUGCUGUGGCUCUGGGAUGAAGGAGCUGACAACACAGAGGUGAACCCACGGGAAAUGGCCCAACUAGCCAGCAUAGCCGGUACCCCCUCCAUGUGCUGGAUUUUGCAGGAUGCACAGAGGCUGGCCCAGUGAGUGGGUAACCGUACUAGGAUAAAUUGGCUGAUGGUAGCGGCCCACAUACUUUGGCCAAACCCAGGAGCAAGUCACAAAAUGGACAACCUAUCUGGACUUGGUAGGUGUGCUGCUUGAAAUGGACAUGAGGCAGAUGAUAUUUGCUGCUUGCUAUAUAGUACCCCUGAUGAAGAAUUGCUCACAGCACGCAUGAAAGUUCUGGUCCUGGGCAGCAGCCCAGCCGGCACAUUUGGCGCAGUGACAGCCCUACUAGCACCUUUAGUAGUUCGUCCAUGUGACUGGGCAAUGUACAGGUGAAAUGGCAAGGAAAGGUGAGAGCAGUAAAAACCUGGCUGCCAAAGGAGAAAAAACAAGCAACCUCAGGGUGAGCAAGACCAAUCCCGCAGGGGCAGACGCUUGGUCCCCUGAAGGUAAACCAACACCAAAUCUGGGCAGAUCUGAUAGCAGCUGGCUGAGCUGCAGAGAAGCUGGAGGGGCAGGCCAUAGAUGUGUUGCUGUCUUUGUGGAAGCAGUGGCGCCCUGACCAGCAGUGCUGGCCCAUGGGCCCAAAGGUAAAGGCAGCCCCUGGGAAGCAGAAUGAGCUGAUGCUGGCAACCUUUUACCCAGAUUAGGAGACAGGCCGAGGUACCUGGUUGCUAGGGACCCCAGGAGACCAGAGGCCACAUGUGGAAUAAACUAUCGGUCCCUGAAAAAUGUACAGUGUGUACUGGCUUUGGUGGAUACCAGAGCCAAGUCGACGCUGAUCCAUGGCAACCCAGACCACUUCACAGGACCCACUACACACAUAGAAGGGUAUGGAGUUCACUACAUUUUGGUCCGGAAGGCCAAGGUGACUUCUGGAAUCGCGUGUUUGGCCCCGAAUCCCCAUGAUGUUUAUGUUUCCCCAGUUACUGAACACAUACUGGGGGUGGACAUACUGACUGGUGCCAGGUUAGACACCACACAUGGAGAAUUCCAUUUGUGGAUUCACGUGAUAAAAACUAAUGUCUGAAGACAGCCCCAUCACGCACUGCUGACUCUCCCAUAGGCAACUCAGGUUGUGUGUGUGAAGCAGUACCGGCUGCCUGGGGGUCUUGAGGAAAUAGAUAAUGUAUUUUUUUCUUUUGGUACCAGGGAUUGAACUCAGCUCCUUCCACUUGUGGGGCAGGCAGUGGAACCACUGAGCUAAAUCCCUGGGCCGGUCAAGAGAAAAUAGGACAAACUGUUUUGAGGUUGGAAGAGGCAGGGGUGAUAUGCCAUGCACAAAGUCCUUUCAGUUCCCCUGUUUGGCCUGUGUGGAAGCCCGAUGGGACUUGGAGAAUAACUGUGGAGUACCAGGAACUGAACAAAGCGACUCCUCCGUCCCACACAGUAGUAGCCAAUAUUUCUGAUUUGGGGGACCAGCUCAACCUGAUGUUGAGCUGAUACCACUACGUAGUGGACCUGGCCAACACAUUCUUCUCCAUGGCUAUCAUGCCUGAGAGUCAGGACCAGUUUUCCCUCACCUGGGAGGGCAGACAAGGGACUUUUCAAGUGUUACCACAAGGGUAUUUGCACAGCCGUACUUUGUGCUAUGUCCUGGUGGCCCAGGAUCUGGCAACAUGGAUCAAGCCACACUCUGUGUCUUUGUUCCAUUGUAUUGAUGGUGUCAUGUUAACCUCUGAUUGCCUUACAGAUUUGGAAGCUGCUGUACACCGUCUAAAAGAAGCUUUGCUGGCCUAGGGGUAGGCCAUCAAUGAAGACAAGGUCCAGGGCCCUGGCUUAUCUGUCAAGUUCUUGGGUGUUAUCUGGUCAGACAUGGCUGAAGGCCUUCCAUGGAGAAUUCCACCAGCAUCUCUGCACAAUUGGACGGACUGGCAACAGAAUGGGACUGGACCUGCCUGGGAUCAGUGAUGCCAGGCUAUUGAGGUGCUGAUCUGGAAGAGCACAACCACCCAACAUGGACUGGGACCUAUGAUGCAUAAAAGUUAGGGGUGGCUGAUGGGGAAUCAAGUAAUAUUGUUAGAUAUUGCCCCACUAUGUAUUGAACAGGUCAUUGUGUCAGUGGGAAAUUCCACAGCAGGAUGGCUACCCCUGCACUUGUGUACCAACACAUUACAGGUGAAUGACACAAAUGCGUGGUGGGAUGGUCAUAAGCUCAUAGGUACAGUACCCACUGAUUGGACCAUGGAAGAUGCCUAUGGGUCUGUGGGACUACGGGUUGGCCUCCCUGCACAGUGGAUGGGGUGCUACACCUGGAGGUUUCCCUAUAUUAAGGGCACUGUCAGGCCCACUCUGGCAGACACACCCCACAAUUGGAAUGCUGUAUCACAGAUGGGACCGCAUCAAAUGGGUGGCCUAGUGGUUUUAUCCUAUGGUUUAAUCCUAUCCUAUUCUAGACCUAGCCCUUCAAGUUAAAGCUCUAGCUCAACACAUGGCUCAGGCCCUAGAUAUCAUGUGCCAGUCUCUGAUGUUGCUCAUGGAUGAAACCUCCCAGAUGAGAACAGUGGUGUUACAGAACUGUAUGGCUCUGGAUUUGCUGACUGCAGCACAGGGAGGCACUUGUGUCCUCUUACAUGGAGAAUGCUGUGUUUUUAUUCCUGACCACUAGGAGCAAGUAAAAGAGGACUUACAAGAAAUGGAGAUGGGAGUGUCUGCCAUCCAGGCCUUGCAAAAAGACCCCCUGACCUAAUGGUGGGAAUCCCUAGGAUCCACCUGGCACUGGGUGGCUCUCAGUGGUGCUGCAAUAGCAAUGGGGUUGGUGCUUAUGUGUUGUUCCUUGUAUUGCUUUUGUGGGCUCUGGACACUAGAGGCAGCCUUAUGUGCUAUUUGCAAGAAGUGGCAGCCCCCUGGGUGUCUGAGAGCACCUGAGGACAUGAUUCUGUCAUUUAGCACAGGCACACAAUGGGGCUUUGUUGUAUAAUAAUGAAUCUGGAUAGACAACCACCCAUGGAUCACAUGGGUGGCAAGGUCACCCAGAAUGUUUUGUCUUACUAUGUAUUAGCAAGUUGAUAAACUACUGUAAGUGCUAUGUUGGAAAAUAAAGCUGGCUUCAUACUUG